UACGGAGGGUGCGAGCGUUGUCCGGAAUCAUUGGGCGUAAAGGGCGCGUAGGUGGCCCGGUCAGCGUGCGGUGAAAGCUCGGGGCUCAACCCCGAGUCGGCCGUGCGAACUGCUGGGCUUGAGCACUGUAGAGGCAGGCGGAAUUCCCGGUGUAGAGGUGAAAUUCGUAGAUAUCGGGAGGAACACCGGUGGCGAAGGCGGCGACCUGGGUCGACACUGACGCUGAGGCGCGAAAGCGUGGGGAGCAAACAGG
rnacentral:rRNA from 1 species